UUGCUACCACACAUGCGCAUUGUGUAUCCCAGAGUCACAGGCCGUUACAAUACUAGUCACAACAUAAGCCGGUUCCUUUUCUGCUCGAUUAGGGUGUACUUUCUUUUUAAAAAAUUCUUUUUAUAAAAAUCUAGUAUAUAUUUGAGAGACUUGUUGGGAAAAGGAGGAGAGGAAAACUAACGCAAGGUAGCAGAGAGAAAGCACAAAAAGAAACACAGAUUACAGGUUAGGUUAGGUUACUCUAAACAGAUACAAAUGGCUGCACCUCCGGGCUGAUAAAACCGGGAUGAAAAUACUACUAGAUUAUCUACUAGAGAUAGUUCGCAAAAUAUGAGAAACGACCGAUAGAUGGCAUCGUAUCAACCUACUUUGUAACGUACCGAAGAUAAGUCGUCAGCCAUACGGACGUUCGAUUCGAACGACGAAGAGACGCGCUGUAAAUCAACAAGUCACCCACUAAAAAACAGAUGACGUCGCGCUGAAAAUCGCCCACUCGCAAGUAAUGCUUAAGCAACGCUGAAAUGUUUGGAAUUGAAUGGAGAUCAGCUCGUGCGGAUGAAUAGAAUCGAGCGGCGUGCUAAGUCGUCACACUCGUAGCGAGUACAAUCGCCUGCUAUUACUCCGCGAGUUGACGCACAUUUGAAUCGACCAUGUACACGUGAGGUUAUUCAAGUAUCGAAAUAUAUACGAAGCGUACAAUGGCCAUUAUACGGCGACGCCGCUAUUAAUACCCUCCUGCCUAAUUGUUUCUCGGAAUUUCUUAAUUGCACCUGCUGUGCGACACUACCUCGCGCCGGCACCUCGGACGAAAAAGAUCAACGUUAGUCACGCGUUGUAAACACAAACGAAGAGAGUUGCGCUGCGCGCAAGUACUUGGCCCAGAUGCAUUUUCCUGGCAGAAGUC